rnacentral:rRNA from 1 species
AUUGAACGCUGGCGGCAGGCCUAACACAUGCAAGUCGAACGAGUGGCGGACGGGUGAGUAAUGUCUGGGAAACUGCCCGAUGGUGGGGGAUAACUACUGGAAAGGGUAGCUAAUACCGCAUACCAUUGGAUGUGCCCAGAUGGGAUUAGCUAGUAGGUGGGGUAACGGCUCACCUAGGCGACGAUCCCUAGCUGGUCUGAGAGGAUGACCAUCCACACUGGAACGGAGACACGGUCCAGACUCCUACGGUAGGCAGCAGUGGGGAAUAUUGCACAAUGGGCGCAAGCCUGAUGCAGCCAUGCCGCGUGUAUGAAGAAGGCCUUCGGGUUGUAAAGUACUUUCAUCGAGGAGGCGUUACUCGCAGAAGAAGCACCGGCUAACUCCGUGCCAGCAGCCGCGGUAAUUC